UACGAAGGGGGCUAGCGUUGUUCGGAAUUACUGGGCGUAAAGCGCGCGCAGGCGGUCUUCCAAGUCAGUGGUGAAAGCCCGGAGCUCAACUCCGGAACUGCCAUUGAAACUGUUGGACUUGAGUAUGAGAGAGGUGAGUGGAAUUCCCAGUGUAGAGGUGAAAUUCGUAGAUAUUCGGAAGAACACCAGUGGCGAAGGCGACUUACUGGACACAUAUUGACGCUGAGGUGCGAAAGCGUGGGGAGCAAACAGG
rnacentral:rRNA from 1 species